UGGGGGAUACUGUUCUGUAAAAACUAGAUUUUUCUUAUAGAUUGGAUUUGAGUAGGUAUUCAUAUUUCUCGCAAAACUCAGUACACAUAUUCUAUAUCAUGAUCUUUUUAAUUUUAAUGCCAAAUAUAGAGUUCUGACCCUCAAUUUCACGAUCAACUAGACAUGGAAAAUGAUAGUGCGAGUGGGGCAUGUAUGUACUAUGGACACAUUC
rnacentral:lncRNA from 1 species